CUCGUGUCGAUCUGAAGCAGUCAAUGUA
rnacentral:piRNA from 1 species